AAUUUGAACUAACAGUCGCCCAGCCAACUACCUUGGCGAGAGAGAGAGAGAGAGGCCAACUACCUUCCCAAGAGAGAGAGGACUGCUAGGUGAAACCCCAGGAGAUUCCUCCGUCAUGGCUUUUGCUUUUGAAUUGCAACAAUGGCCGAUUCAACCCAUAAUCUCCAAGGUCAGACCCCUGUUUUUGAAUCCAUUUCAAAUUUUUGACCUACACUUUCAUUUUUUUCCACUUCUUGUUGUUCAGUAUGGAAGAAGAACCAGAGCACAAUCCCACUCCCACUCCCACUCCGUGUGUUUCUUCUUCGAAUGCAAUAGAGGGUUCAUCGUCCGAUUCACAGGUCCAUGAAGAACCAGAGCCAGAACCAGAACCAGAACCAGAACCAGAAGAGAGCAAUCAAUUACCCCAAAUUGAGGACCGCCGCCGCACAACACCCGGAGUAUCUUAUCGGCUAAACAUAUCGAUAUCCGAUUCUCCCUCGACCCACGUCAGAGAUGACGCCUGGUCUUGCCUCAUCGUGCUCGUCACAUUUUGGUUCUUUGCAUCGAUGACUGUGAUACUCGGCUUUUAUGGAUCUGUGAACUUGCCGUUGGGCCCGAAUUGCUCUUGCCUGAUACAAGUUAACCCUAUCUUUGUGAAGUCAAUUAAGGCACAGCAAAUAGAUGAGUCAAAACAUGGGCCAAUGCUAUAUGGAUUUUAUGAGCCCCCUCCUCUGGAUACUGAAAUCACCUGGUCUGAAACACAUAAUGCAUUUAUACAAUCUGCUUAUCACAAGGAGUGGGCAUACUUUCUUAACAAAGGGUCUAAAGUGAAUAUUUCAUACAGUGUCAAAUCCCCCAGUUCUGCCCCUUUGUCCCUUGUAAUAGCCCAAGGUAGAGACAGCCUUGUUGAGUGGAUAGAGGACCCAUCGUAUCCUAAUACAACUUUGUCUUGGAACAUUAUUCAUGGAAAUGGUAUCAUCCAACAGGAAAUUUUGUGGUCUAAAUUGUAUUAUAUUGCUGUGCGAAAUUUGAACUCUGAGGAGGUGGAGGUUAAACUGAACUUCACAAUAAAGGGUUUUCUCUAUAAUACAACCCAGGCAUAUUACAAGUGCUCUCUGAGUCAUCGUUUAUGUAGUUUGAAGCUUCUUCUUGUAAGGGCAAAUGCUGCUGUGUUAACUUCUCCGGCCACAGAACAGGGUGUGCCAUAUAAAGAAUGGUUUGUCAAAGUCUCUUAUGGACCACGGUGGAUUACUUAUGUUCUUGGGUCAGGUAUAAUGACUGUAAUCGUCUUACUGGCCUUUCGAAUCUGUAAAAUGUUACAAAUAACCAGGGAAGACGAAAUAGGAUUCCGAGUGGGGGAGGUGGGACCCGAAAGAGCUCCAUUGCUUUCGCAUAAAGACGAUGAUCUUUUAAGUCGGGGUUCAUCUUAUGAUUCUAUUUCACAUGAUGAGGAGGAAGUGGAUGAGUGGCUUAUAGUGCCUUCCAUUGAUGGAAAGGCAUCAAAGGAGGGGGAAAGCAAUAGCAGCCCUCGCCGUCUUUGUGUUAUAUGCUUCGAUGCCCCACGGGAUUGUUUUUUUCUUCCAUGCGGGCACUGCGCUACCUGUUUUGCAUGUGGAACAAGCGUCCAUCAAGAGCAGCGUCCAUCAAGAGCACUAAAGAAGAGGGGAAGAAAAACUAGUUGGCUGGUGUGUCCCCAACGUGUCCUGUGAAAACAAAUUAAUUAAAUAAAUAGACAUGCCAGUACGUGCCCCCUAAUGUGUGUCUGUGUCCAAUGCCACUACGUGACCUGUUUUGUAGUGUCGGGUGCUUCGUAGCCUGUUAACCACAGGUUGUGGAAGAGGCUGGUACUUGUCCCAUUUGUCGGAGGACGAUGAAGAAGGUGAGGAAGAUUUUUACCGUUUGAGCAGGACAUGCAAAAUCUGAAAAUUUGCAGAUGAAGUGAUUUGUACUUGGAGAAAUUUUAUCAAUCCACACUGAAUACAGAUGAAUAUUAUCCGUAUACGUGAAGUGAUGAUCGGAUAAAGAUUAAUGGAGGUUAUUCAUCAGAGUUUAUGGAACCUGCUAGUGGUUUUAUGCUGGUUGUCAACCUAAUGUGCAACCCCUCGUUCUUUCUUUGUGCUAGUUUGAGCUAUCACCAUGUCUCAUUGUACCUUGAUUGUUUUCCAAUGUGAAUACUUGCUUUUUGAGUGUACAUAGGCUGUAAAUGCGUAAAAAAUUUUCGAGAGGGUUUCCUCUGUUGAGUUGUUUAAUUUUUUUUGUCAUUGGGAGGUGGUGGUGGUGGUGAUAUUAUUCUUAGUUUUUUCUUCAUUUUAUUUUAUUUUGUGUUGAGGAUGGACAAAGGAGAGUGUUAAAUUUUUAGAGUAAUUUGAUGGUAGUGUCUAA